CCACGUCCGGCCCCCGGGGCGGGGUCUGUCGGCUCGCCCUCCCCUCGCCGCCUAAGCCUUCCCUCCGCUAACUGGGUCCCCUCCCCACAACCAACACGGCUUCUCUUCCUCAGCUCAGCGACAGGGGCUUCCCCUCAGCCUCAGCCUCGGCCGCUGCCGCGGCCUGCGGCCGCCAUGCAGUUUAUGUUGCUUUUCAGUCGUCAGGGAAAGCUUCGACUGCAGAAAUGGUAUGUCCCAUUAUCAGACAAAGAGAAGAAAAAGAUCACAAGAGAACUUGUUCAAACCGUUUUAGCACGGAAACCUAAAAUGUGCAGCUUUCUUGAGUGGCGAGAUCUGAAGAUUGUUUACAAGAGAUAUGCUAGUCUGUAUUUUUGCUGUGCUAUUGAGGAUCAGGACAAUGAACUAAUUACCCUGGAAAUAAUUCAUCGUUACGUGGAAUUACUUGACAAGUAUUUUGGCAGUGUGUGUGAACUUGAUAUCAUCUUUAAUUUUGAGAAGGCUUAUUUUAUUUUGGAUGAGUUUCUUUUGGGAGGGGAAGUUCAGGAAACAUCCAAGAAAAAUGUCCUUAAAGCAAUUGAGCAGGCUGAUCUACUGCAGGAGAGCCAGAAUGAAGAAUGGGGAGGUUUGUCUGAGGAUAUCUUAUGAUAAAGAGCAGUCUAAGGCUUUAGUCCCUUUGACCCCCAACUUGUUUAUUGGAUGCGAAAGAAGCCGAAACCCCACGUAGUGUUCUUGAAGAAAUUGGACUGACAUAACUCUCCUCCCUUGUUGAUGACUUCCUGUGGCAUUUCACACACUGUAGAUGGUCACUGCCUUCAUGUCCAUGUUAGCUAAUGAUGUAAGAUGACGUCUUGUCAGUAUUACUGUUUUGCUAAACUGCUUCAUUCAGGCCUACACAAUUUUUUUUUAAAGGGAACUUUCAUUAAUCAGUUGAUAACUUAAGGGACUUAAAUAUGAAUUAGAAUGAUACAGAAAAAGAAAGGCACCUGGAUAUUUUAAGGGUUAUAGAUAGGUCUGUUUCUCUUAACCUGAUCAUGUAUGUAUACCUAUGAAAAUGACACAAUCAGGCAAUAUACAUCUAUUACUGUCUUUGGCAAAGGAAACUUUCGAAACCAAAGACUUCGAUAUAUAUGAGAAUAAAGGGAAUUGAAAGCACACAUCAAAUGAAUGAAUACUUAACUAUGUUGAAACUUAAAAACCAAAUUGAUACCAAAGACCCUUAUUAGAAACUACAUACCUUAAGACAAAGGGAAUGAAUACACAUGACUAAAUGAUAAUUAUGCUGUUUUACACUAAAAUUAUUUCUUAGGCAUUCCAAACCUGGAACGAGGAACAGAGAUUGUUUCUUAGCAGCAUGUUUUCAGGCCAUAAUCAUUUGGUCACUGAGUUGGAUUGCUUUUGAUGCCCCCAAAUAAAAUGGAAAUGUUGACUUACCAGGAAUUCUUCAUGACAGUAUCUUACGUAAAAUGUUAUCAGUCUCUUCACAAAAUGUUGGCUAAGUUGUUUAAAGCACGAAUAUUCCUUCUGGGAGGCUUGUAACAGCGAAAUUUAUUUUGCUUUCCCCUAGUGCUUCCCUCUACUUAGAAGUGCUGCAAACUUAGGGCGGCUUCCUGUCCUUUCAUGGCACUGCCUAGUUAUCAGAAAACUUAUAAAGACACACCACCUUUCAUAUAAAAGUGCAAGUUGAAUGAGGUAAAAAUGGCAUUAGUGGGCCCUAUAUUUUUUAAAGCUGUUUCAAUGUCAGUUUUAUACAUACUUCUACAUAUGUAAAUAUGUCUUCAUGGUUUACAAUUUCAUUUGUAUCUGCUAGGCUGGAUUAAGCUUUGUUGUGAUUGUGACCAAUAUUCAGGCCACGUGUGCACUGUCUUAUCACAUCGCCAAUUAAUUGUAAUAAAUGUUCAACGUACACCACUGUAGUGUUUUUUAUGUAUCUCCAAAAGCUUGUCAAACUGGAGAGCUGCUGAAGGAAAAAAUUUUUAAGUUUUUUUCAGUAAAAUGUUGAUAAUUCACCUCCAUUUGAAUGUGGUGGUUGUUAAAAGCACACACAAGAUAAAUGCCAGAAGAUUUAAGGAGUCUUCAUAUACUUCAAGCCCAUUAAAAAAUAAUGUGGAUUCUAUGCUACUGAGAGCUUAUCUACACAUUUUCAAUCAAUAAAUGCCGCUUUUAAAACCUUGA